ensembl:ncRNA T08A9.17 ncRNA
CGGAAGGACCAAAAGAAAAGAUGAAAUGAAAAGAACGAAAAGAACGAAAGCGUGUAAUCUUGAGCUUCUUUUCUCCUUUCUUUCUUCCAAGACAUUCAGUGCGUCCCACGAAUGCUUCUACUUCUAAACGCCAUAUACACAUCCAGUGAAGAAAAGAAAGAUAGAGGCACUCUCUGCUCGCCGAGAAGGAGAAGACGACGCCGAAAG